CUGCCUGUGAGACAUGCUCUUGGUUUUAACAGUGAUGCUCUCAGGAGCCCAGGCCUGAGUAGCCUCUGCACCAGGCAGAGAUGAGGGAGAAGUGGCUCCUUUCCAGGACCAAGCAGCCUUACAAGAAGGGACUGGUAUUUGGCCAGGCUCUUUCAAGCUGCAGAGCACCAUUUGUUGCCACAUCUGUGGUGCCUGGCUGUCUUAUUGACCCUUACUGAGUUCGGGGUUGGUGAAAAGCAUUGGAAUCAAUUUGUUCUGAAGAUCAUCGUGUUGUCCCUUGUGGACAGCCUCCAGGAAGGGGCUCUGCAGUCCCCAGAGCUGUGUGGGGUGCUGUGUGACAGCGCUGGCUGUUCUUCCUGCCUCUGUUUUACAACAGGCCUUUGCUCAGUCAACCUGCGAGCUGCUUAAUCAUUAAAAAACAGAAGGGGGCUGCUGCUGUUGUUGUGGUUGAACAGGACACGAACACAUUUUGUGGACAAAGCGAGCUUUUAAAUACAUCAAAGUGGCCCAGGCACGACGCUGUGUCCUGCCACAGCCCUCGGCCUCCUCAGCCCUAAUUGCACAUGCCACCGCCUCCUCCAGUGCGCCCCGUCCUGCACGAAGCACUGCUUGGCCAAUUAGCGGGAUAAGUUCGUCUCUAGCCCGGGAGCUAUGUGGAUAGCUUUCUUCGCUGCGUCUCUCUACAUGGAGGAAUGUUUUGACAGCUAAACAUGGAUCUUGUUGAGCUGUCAGUUCUGCUCACUCUCCCAAGUGUUUCUUAUUUAUUGAGUCAUCAGGCUCUUCCUGACCUCCUCAAAGUCAGUCCCAGCCUGGCACAAAAGACAGCACAGAAAUACAGCUCGAGCGUGGCCUUCUGAGCAGGGCAAGUUUCUUCAAGCAUUUGAUGCCUUGAACAGCGCAGAUCAUGAGGUCUCCAAGUCAGAGCAGUGG